rnacentral:tRNA from 1 species
GCCGGUGUAGCUCAGUAGGUAGAGCAAAGGAAUCAUAAUCCUUGUGUCAGGUGUUCGAUCCACCUCGCCGGUA